rnacentral:rRNA from 1 species
UGUCUUGGAAAAUGGAAUGAUGGGAAUUUAAACCUCUUCCAGAGUAUCAAUUGGAGGGCAAGUCUGGUGCCAGCAGCCGCGGUAAUUCCAGCUCCAAUAGCGUAUAUUAAAAUUGUUGCAGUUAAAAAGCUCGUAGUUGAAUUUCUGCUGCAUCGUCGCAUCUCUUGCUGAGUGCUUCGUUUCGGCUUAUUUCGGAUUGAUUUUUUCUUUCCGGAUGAUUACUUUGAGAAAAUUAGAGUGCUCAAAGCAGGCUUUUGCCUUGAAUAGUUUAGCAUGGAAUAAUAAAGUAGGACUUUGGUUCUAUUUUGUUGGUUUUAGGUACCAAAGUAAUGGUUAAUAGGAACAGUUGGGGGCAUUCGUAUUUAACUGUCAGAGGUGAAAUUCUUAGAUUUGUUAAAGACGAACUACUGCGAAAGCAUUUGCCAAGGAUGUUUUCAUUAAUCAAGAACGAAAGUUAGGGGAUCGAAGACGAUCAGAUACCGUCGUAGUCCUACC